CUAGAACAAUAAAGACUGCUUUAUACAUAUUCCUAGCUCCCUGCGCGUUCUGCCACUUACUGUGUUCGGCAUCAAGAAUUGUUUCCUGUAGGCAAAGUACGUGGACUAAGUACACCGCCACUCCAACAGACUCAUCGUGGCCAGCUAUGAUUUGGAAGCUCACCGCUGCCACUUUGCUGCUUUACGGUUUCUUCAACACGCUCUCUACCAGCAUGGGUUUCUCUGACGUAAGAUAUAUGCGGUAGCGUCUCAAGUAUAUGGCAGCGAUUGCAAUCAAGGAUAUUUCAACGGCCGAUAAGGCGGGAAAGUUGCAGCUCAACGCCACACAAAAUGGUACUCGGCCACGGAGGAAGACAUUUAGGAGAAGACAUCCUUAUGGAAAGAAUGCAAUGAUAUUGAAAAGAUGGAACUAACCCUGGAACAAGGACAGCCUGUGCAUAUGAACAAAAUCAUGGGUGAGUCAAGAUGUCUAAGUGUAACCUGUGACCGAAAAUCACAUUUGUGCUGCAUCCCCGGCCCAACUACGUAUACACGAUGUGCGGGUAGAAACGAAACCUGUGAAGAUAAAUGGAAAACCUUUUGUGGCAAAGAUGGUCGCCCCACAUGCGAGGAGAAGGGAAACAUAUCCCUAUGUCGUUGUUUGUACACACACCGCUCGCACUGAAAACCAUGAAAUCUGGGCAUCUGUUUUCUGGUCAUCGGCACGUAUAGGCUGACUCCACUGGUUGUUUAUAUUAUCUGAAUUUUCGUUGUCUCGGCACAACUCCACCAGCACAGUUGCGAGUUGGCUCUUCAGCUAAGAUGUCAAAGCACUGAAUAGUAAUAUGAAAUAUUUAACUCGUUUCAUAAGAGACAAUAAAUAGAAAACUGAACGAAUUAUGCCAGA